GGAAAAGGAGGCAGAGGGGUGUCGUAGGUGGUACCACCGUAUCCGUUGCCGGGCAACAUCACAUCCCCAAACUGCUGCUGCUGCUGCACCUGGAUGCCGCACUCCUGCAUCUGGAUGUUGCACGCGCUGUCAGGGACUGGAAACGAGAUGGUGGCUCGAAGCUGGAGGGCCAGCGACCCGCAGCUGCUGGCUUCAGCUGGGGGGACAGAGGGAGGAGGAGCCACAUGGCCACCUGCCGAGAUUCAGUGGAAAAAUGCAAGAAAAUGAUUUCCUGAAGAAAAUCCGAGGUGAAACUCACCGGACAUGAUGGCUGGGAUGGAGAGAUGAUUCCUGGAGAAGAGCUGAGGGACUCAACAAUGUCCUUUUCUGCCUCAGCAAAAUGGCCAAGAACGAAAUUUCUGCAAAAGUCUCCAAAAAUAGCAACACAAAUGUCUUACAGCAGAGCCAGAGCAUACAGAAUGAUUGUAAUAGAGCUGGGGACAUAUUAGUUUGAGAUUUUCUCCCUCCAUUCCCUCUAUUUAAAACCCCUAGAACUCAAUGAUUUGACAAUGAUUUGAUUGCGCGUUACUUACCAUUUGAAUAUUCAGAGGCAACUCUCUCAAAUCGAUUUUCAGUAAAAUCACUAAGCAUGAACACUGUAUCAAAUCCACUUUAAUCUCAUAUAUUAGUAUUUUACACUUUAACCUCGAAAAAAAUGCACUUUUAUUCAUUUUACCCUCCUUUUGCACUAUCCCAGCAUCAGCCCCCUUCACUUAGCACUGCAGCACCCACGACUGCUUCCGUGCAACCUUAAGAGCGCAUUUCACCUCAAACCUCGCGUUUAGCCUAGUCACGCAUUUUAAAAAGUUUAUUUCAUAAAAAAUACAUUAAAAGUGGCAAAGAGGGAAAGUGGGUGUGGCAAGGGCCAACAGCCCUCGUUGGCAUGGCAGGGCCUCCAGCUCCAUCAGAGUGCUCACACCUGCUGGGAGAACAGGGAGAGAGGCUCAGCAGCUUCACGCACAGUUCUGUCCUUGUCUUGGUUAUAUUUUCAUGAAAAUAAAAAUGCGUUUCAGGAUCAAAGGUUUCCGGUAAAGUGUGCCGUUUAAGAACCGGCCUUUGAAAUGUUUAACUCCCCCAGCAUUAUGAUUUAUGAUCAUUAUGAUCAAAAACGGUUAUUAUUUUAGAUUUUCUAUCAAAUCUGUGUUGAAAUCGAGUAAAUAAAUAAAUAAAUGAAUAAAUAACGAAACUAAAAA
ensembl:lncRNA